UGUAAUUGUAAGAGAAAUUGUAAGAGAGAAUAAUUCUUUCUCUUAACUCUCGCUCUCUCCCUUUAUUAUAGUAGUAUAUAUUAUUAUACUUAUACUAUUAUACAUACGUACAUACACAUACACAUAUAUAAUAUAAUAAUUUUAUAUUUUGUAUUAUGUUUUAUAACACGUUAUUAGCACAAUAUUUUUACUGCUGGAGCUUUCACGAGGUAAGUAAAUUUAUAUUGUUUCCAUAUAUGUUUAUAGAACAUAAAUAUUAUAGAGAUCGUGAAAUUAUGUUUUUUCCGGAUUGAUCGUCAUAAGUUGUAGGCGUUGCCUCCUUUACGAUCAAAUCAAUAGCUAAAUUAUAUUCGGAUAGAUCGUUAGAUAUAUGGUAGGCUCUGCCUCUUUCACGAUCAAAUAAAAACUAUGUCUUUCCAGAUAGAUAAAUCUUAUAUAUGGUAAGUUUUGCCUCAUUUUCGAUUAUACAUAAAGCUAUAUAAUUUUUGGAUGGAUCAUUUUAUAUAGUAAGCUUUGCCUCUUUCUAGAUCUAACAAAAGACUAUGUCUUUUUUGCAGAAAGAUCGUUAAAAAUGGCAGGCUAUGCCUCCUAUAUGAUCAAAUAUAAUUAAAGACUAUUUCAUUUUCUGGAUUGAUCGUUAUAAGUGGCUCUGCCUCCUUCACGAUCAAAUAAAAGCUAUGUCUUUUCUGGAUAGAUAGAUCGUUAUAUAUUGUAGGCUUUGCCUCCUUUACGAUCAUAUAUAAAGCUAUAUAAUAUUUGGAUUGAUCAUUUGAUAUGGUAGGCUUCGCCCCUCCGUCACGAUCUAACAAAAGGCUAUAUCCUUUCCGGAAAGAUCGGUUUUGCCUUCUAUACGAUCAAAUAUAAGGCUAUGUCAUUUCUGGACUGAUCGUUAUACAUGUAGAGGUUUUGCCUCAUUAAUGAUCAAAUAAAAGGCUUUGUCUUUUCUGGAUUGAUCAUUAUAUAUGAUAGGCUAUGUCUAAUCUACGAUCAAAGAAAAUUUAUGUCUAUUAAAUUCUUAUAUAUAAGGCUAUAACUCUUAUUUUAUUUUCUGCAUUUAUAUGUUUGUUUAUUUACUUCCGUUUAUUAGUAAAAAAUAAUUGUAUGUGUUACAUGAGAUUUAAAGACAAUGGAAUGUCUUUAAAAUAAAAACAUAUUUCUCUUACGAGAAUAUAUGAAGCACUUGUCAGUAUAUCAUAGACAGUGCAAACAUAAUUGAAAAGUCUAGAUGAGUUAGUCUCUCGACUUUCAAAGACAUCAGAUUCAUAAUUAUCGAUGUCUAGUGUUCUCCAGACACUCAUGGAGUUUCAAAGACAUUUUGUCUUAAUAAAAUUAUUAUGUUGAGACUAUAAAUAAAUAUGGUAUCGCAAGAUCGGCCAUAUUGGAGACACACAUGUAUAUGAUUAUAUCAUACAAAAAGAAAGAUGGCAAAAUAAUAGUAAAUAUGAAAUUCUUUUAUGCUUUAAGUAUAACAUUACCGGUCAAGCAAUCCCGGUCAAUCAAUGAUAUUCUUUUAUGCUUUAAGAGGAACAAAAAUUCUUUCAAAAGUAUUGCAUGUCCCAGUUCACAUUUCAUGAAGUUGUAAGCACUGCACUUCAUUCAUAUCUCAGAUAACAUCUAAUUUAUGUUGAAUUUAUUUAAGUUUAUUUUAAUUUAUUUAUUUUUUUAUUUAUUGUUUAUGGAGUUCAUGUAUAUAUACCUCCUCCUUAAUUUUGUAGUAGGCUAUGCCUCCAGAAUCAUAUAGUGUUGGCCCGUUCACCAUCCUUUUGGAUUAACAAGCUCAUUGUAUAUAUAUGAUGGUUUGAUUUCUUUAAUAAAUCCCCAAAUAAACCCCAAAUAUCACCGAUCUAAAAAUAAGAUUCGGUUAAAGGUGAAUGGAUGUAAAAGUCAUCAUCUUGAGAGGGGUCUCAUCUCACAUCUUAUAAGGAUCUAAGAUAAUAGACAUAACCAGAAUCGAUAUGUUGUUGAUCCUAGUGUGGGAUUCAGUACGAGAUGAAUGAACUCCAAGAGUUAUCAUCUCGAGCGGGAGAAUUAAAGGAAUCCCACAUCGACAAUAAGUCGAUAAAAUUUGGUGAAUUUGACACCCCAUAGCGAUAUAACUUUGGUGAAGUCAUAUCCUUUAGUUUAUCACAUAUAUAUGUCGCAUGUGAUAAAGUGGAACAUCCAUGAUGUUCACUCUUGAAAUGAGCUAUAGAAUCAUUCAUAGCGCAACCGCAAGAUAUUACAAAAUGGUUCCUGGUGAUAUAAUCUCCAUGUCAAAACAUGGAACAUGCAGUUUUGCAUGUAGUCAAUAUUAUAUAUGAGGCCAACAUUUUAUAAAGAAAUAUUUCUCCCAUGUUAUAUAUUCACGGUUGAAGAUCAAAUAUUUGUUAUUUUGAAUCUUAUGGGUGUGUGAUAUAUAUUUUAAAAUGCUCCUCCACACUGCAUGAAAAUAUCAUCCACAGAAGAUGAAAUAAUAUAGAUGUGGGAGAUGAAUCUCCGCUCUAAUAAUGUUAAAGCCAUCUUAUUAGAGAUGUGCUUAAUGCAAGAUUUUCAUAUCAUCAUGUUGGAUGAUAAAGAUCCCAUCACUGUGGGGAAAUCAUAGAAUAGUUUGGAUCUUUGAAUAAAUGAAUAUAAUGAAUAUGAACUUGAUUGUUCAAAAGUUCAAAAGACCACUAUUCAACAUGUUUACUACAAAUCAAAUGCAAAAAGAUGAUGGAUGAGAUUUCAUAUUGAUCCUCGCUUAAAUGAAUAUGAACUUGUAGUUCUAAGAAAUCUCACAUCCCAGCUAGAAAUGAUCCAAUAAAAUAUGUCUUUGACGGAUGACAUACUAAGUCUAUGACACACAAGAAACGUGAUAGACUACUUUGGUUCCUAAGAUAAAUAAAAUCCUCGAAAAGAAAAAGGAGCAAAUUAAAAAGAGGUUUAUACUCUCAAAAGAGGAGCAAAUGAACUCCUAAAGAGGAGUAAAUAGACUCUUAAAGAAGAGCUAAUAGACUCCCUGAGAGGAGCACAUAGACUCCUAAAAAGGAGCAAGAUACUUCUCAAGAGGAGUAGAGAAACUGAUUGAUAUGGUUAAUAAUGAAAUCACUUACCUGUAUAAAAUCAUUUAUAUAUUGAUUAAAGAGAUCUCGAUUAACCAUGUCAUUACGGGAAAUAUGGAACCAAAGACAUACAUGUCGACAAUAAAUUGUAUAGCGCAAUGUGAUUAAUGAGGAUCAUAAAUCUCUGCUUUGUGAGCGUAUCGAGAUAACAUAUUGGCCAAUAAAAGAGGUAGUCAAGUCUAUAUAAACUCGUAUACUAGACGAGUAAUUUUUGGACUAGUGGUCCAAGCAUCAAAAGGGUAUAAUGAUAUAUAACAAAAUGGUUUGUCGCGCCAUGUUUUGUUAAAGUACCCUAUAUCAAUCAAAAUUGAUGUUAUACUAUGACUUGAAAUACAUCUCAUGGGAUGCUUGAAGAGCUUAUCCUGAAAAACAUAUGAUAUCAUAAUUAUGUUCUCGAGAAUUCAUAACAGUGAUGAUUUUGAACAUCAUCAAAAACUCUUGAAGAGUUAUUUGGAAUAAAAGAUCUUGGAAAGACAAAAAUGUCUCCAGAAAUUCUAAACUAAACAUCUAUCGAAAUAGAUGUUAUACUAAUCACUUCUAAAGGAAGUCAAAUAUACAUAUAUAUAGUCAUGUAAGAUCAUAUAUAAAUGCUGACGAGCAUUUAUAUAUUUUAUGAAUUCUGCAUAGCAUUUUCCACUAAUCUUUUUGCAGCAUAUAACUUAUUCUAUAUGAGUAGAUUUUGAGUAUGAGUUAAAACAUAUCUUCUAUUGCAAAGAUAUGAUUGACUUGGGCUUAAUAUAUUUUGGAACCCCCAAGUUUGGUUUCGUUGGUUUGCAGAUGGAAGAUUUAUAUCGGAUCAGUACAAAGAUGUAUCGCAAAACAACGACUUCGAGACAUUUCAGUGAUAGAAUUUGGCUGUUGCUCGUUCAAGUCAUGCCAAAAUAAUUGUGCUUCAUAUGCCAUAUCGAGAAUCCCUAAUGGCUCAUAUGAUGCCCGAACGUCAACAAAUAGUUAUCUACCUAAGAUUGGAGCCUCGUAACAUGUUGGCGAAGAACUUCGAACUGAGGGUUCGAUCAGCAUCAACUAGUUAAUGCUUGUUGAGAUCCAUUAGCAAGAAGCAACCAAAAGGCAACAACACUGUUUGAAGACUCUGUUGCAUAUGUCACCCAAAUCAAAGAAAGCUAGCCAAGAGCAACAAAACAAGACAUAUUCUUCUCUUACACUAAAGAUUUUGAGAAGAAUAUGGAAGUUGAUAGCCAGUCCAUCAACUCAAGUAAUAAUGUAGCAGAGUUAUUUACAAAGGUGCUUCUGACUUCCUCAUUCAGAAUGCAUCUGCAGAGAUCAAAAUUCAUCUUUUGACGAUGAUACUUCCAGGGGAGAAUAUGUUGAUUCGCGUGGUUGCACUCUUUUUCAUUUAUCAUGGUUUUUUUCCCACUGGAUUUUUCCAUGACAAGGUUUUUAACGAGGCAGCAAAUAACACGCAAAAUAUCGAUCUCAAAGAAGAAUGCCAAUGGUGAAGGUCUAUCUCUCUUCAGAAGAAUGAAGAAAAUGAUCAAUAUGAAUCAUCUACGGAAGAUAUGAAGAAAAGUAGACACAUUUGUUCAAAGCAAAGAAUGAUCGAUAUGAGUCAUCUACGAAACCUAUGAAGAGAAAAAGACUCGUCUUUUUCAGGGGUAGAUUGUGUCACUAUACUCUUUUUCCCUUAUCAUAGUUUUUAUCUCACUGGAUUUUUCCAUGACAAAGUUUUUUAACGAGGCAGUACACAAUAAGUAAAUGGUGAUAGAUAAUAAGGGAGAAUGUUAUAAAACUGAUAAUAACACUUGUGAUUAUCCAUCACAUUACUUCUACUCUAAGUAACUUUAAUCUUAUCCAUUUACAUAUACACUUAUCCAUUAGUGAUACAUAUCUAUUAGUAGUAGUUAUCCCUUCAUCUUUUAUUUCCUCCUCAAAUAAUUACCAUGUAUAUAUAUGUGUUAGUUUUGUUCAUUGUAACAACAACACAACAAGAAGAGAGAAUAAUUCUUUCUCUUAACUC